AGGUGAAAAUGAAAAAAAAUACUGCUCACAAGUUCAAUGUUUUUGCUCUACAUCAUACGCAAUUACCAUUACUGAGACUGAGGCAGGGAGAUAUUCCACGCAGGCAAAGUCAUGUGGCAUGGUUUAAAAAGCAUUAAUUGCUCUCGAGGAGGAAUCAAUGAUGUAUUAUUGCUCGUAGCACAAAUGGACACCUGUCAUGUGACCUGAGUGAUCUGAAGAUUGACCAAUGGCUGCAACUGCUGAAUUUCAAGGGAGAUCACCUGUGAUGGCUAGCAGUGUUUGUCAAACAAUC